AGUCUGGUGCCAGCAGCCGCGUUAAUUCCAGCUCUGAUAGUAUAUAUUAAAGUUGUUGCAGUUUAAAAGCUCGUAGUUGAAACUUGGGUGCGUAGGGGCGGUCUCUUUUAGAGUACUACCCUGAAACAUCUUUCUUUGGUGUAAACUUUCUAUUUAUUUAGGAAGUGUAAACCAAACAUUUACUUUGAAAAAAUUAGAGUGUUCAAAGCAGGCCUUUGCUCGAAUAUAUUAGCAUGGAAUAAUAGAAUAGGACGUAUGGUUCUAUUUUGUUGGUUUCUAGGACCGUCGUAAUGAUUAAUAGGGACGGUCGGGGGCAUCAGUAUUCAGUUGUCAGAGGUGAAAUUCUUGGAUUUACUGAAGACUAACUACUGCGAAAGCAUUUGCCAAGGACGUUUUCAUUAAUCAAGAACGAAAGUUAGGGGAUCGAAGACGAUCAGAUACCGUCGUAGUCUUAACCGUAAACUAUGCCGACUAGGGAUCGGAGGGCGUUAUAAUAACCUCUCCGGCACCUUACGAGAAAUCAAAGUUUUUGGGUUCUGGGGGGAGUAUGGUUGCAAGGCUGAAACUUAAAGGAAUUGACGGAAGGGCACCACCAGGAGUGGAGCCUGCGGCUUAAUUUGACCCAACACGGGGAAACUCACCAGGUCCAGACACAAUAAGGAUUGACAGAUUGAGAGCUCUUUCAUGAUUUUGUGGGUGGUGGUGCAUGGCCGUUCUUAGUUGGUGGAGUGAUUUGUCUGCUUAAUUGCGAUAACGAACGAGACCUUAACCUGCUAAAUAGCUGUAACAAUAGAUUAUUGUUUUGACAGCUUCUUAGAGGGACUAUCGAUUUUCAAGUCGAUGGAAGUUUGAGGCAAUAACAGGUCUGUGAUGCCCUUAGACGUUCUGGGCCGCACGCGCGCUACACUGACGGAGCCAGCGAGUCUAACCUGUGCCGAGAGGUAUGGGUAAUCUUGUGAAACUCCGUCGUGCUGGGGAUAGAGCAUUGCAAUUAUUGCUCUUCAACGAGGAAUUCCUAGUAAGCGCAAGUCAUCAGCUUGCGUUGAUUACGUCCCUGCCCUUUGUACACACCGCCCGUCGCUACUACCGAUUGAAUGGCUUAGUGAGGCUUCCGGAUUGAUUAACUGGAGAGGGCAACUUUUCUGGUUGAACGAGAAGCUAGUCAAACUUGGUCAUUUAGA
rnacentral:rRNA from 1 species